rnacentral:rRNA from 1 species
UACAGAGGGGCAAGCGUUAUUCGGAAUUAUUGGGCGUAAAGGGCGCGUAGGCGGCCUGGCAAGUGGAAGGUGAAAUCCCUCGGCUUAACCGAGGAACUGCCCUCCAAACUGCUUGGCUUGAGUCCGGGAGAGGUGAGUGGAAUCCCAGUGUAGCGGUGAAAUGCGUAGAUAUUGGGAGGAACACCAGUGGCGAAGGCGGCUCACUGGACCGGAACUGACGCUGAGGCGCGAAAGCGUGGGGAGCAAACGGGG